UACGUAGGGGGCGAGCGUUGUCCGGAUUUAUUGGGCGUAAAGAGCUCGUAGGCGGUUCAACAAGUCGGUCGUGAAAGUUCAGGGCUCAACCCUGAAAUGUCGAUCGAUACUGUUGUGACUAGGAUACGGUAGAGGUGAGUGGAAUUCCGAGUGUAGCGGUGAAAUGCGUAGAUAUUCGGAGGAACACCAAUUGCGAAGGCAGCUCACUGGGCCGCUAUCGACGCUGAGGAGCGAAAGCUAGGGGAGCAAACAGGAUUAGAUACCCUGGUAGUCCUAGCUGUAAACGAUGGAUACUAGACGUAGGAACUGGAUUGACGGUUUCUGUGUCGUAGCUAACGCGUUAAGUAUCCCGCCUGGGGAGUACGGUCGCAAGACUAAAACUCAAAGGAAUUGACGGGACCCCGCACAAGCGGCGGAGCAUGCGGCUUAAUUCGAUGAUACCCGUAGAACCUUACCUGGACUUGACAUAUAGGGUCUAGCUAUAGAGAUAUAGUGUGCAUUAGCGCCCUAUACAGGUGGUGCAUGGCUGUCGUCAGCUCGUGUCGCGAGAUGUUGGGUUAAGUCCCGCAACGAGCGCAACCCCUAUCCUAUGUUGCCAGCAUUUAGUUGGGGACUCAUAGGAGACUGCCGGUGAUAAACCGGAGGAAGGUGGGGACGACGUCAAGUCAUCAUGCCCCUUAUGUCCAGGGCUGCACGCAUGCUACAAUGGCAAGUACAACGAGUCGCAAUACCGCGAGGUGGAGCAAAUCUCUUAAAGCUUGUCUCAGUUCGGAUAGGAGUCUGCAACUCGACUCCUUGAAGUUGGAGUCGCUAGUAAUCGCAAAUCAGCAAAGUUGCGGUGAAUACGUUCUCGGGGUU
rnacentral:rRNA from 1 species